AGAAGGAGAGAUUUACGCGACAAACUGUUUCCGUAUCAUAAGAUUUUUUUAUUAAUAGAAUGACGUUUCCACAAGCUCAUCAAGUUGAAUUGAUAGCACUGGCCGAACUAGCAGGGAUUUCAGCAGUUCCAGGAGUUUAUCGAAUCAUAUUGGAAUUAUUGGCUCUUCAAAUAUCUCCAGAGGAUAUAUACGUCCUUUUAAAGCAAAUAUGUCCUCGACCAACAGACAACCGAGCUGUUGAUAAUAUUGAAGGGGUACUUGAUGUAACUACAAACUAAGACACAUAAUAUAAUUUAAUACAAUUUAAUACAACCAAUACAUAUUUUUAUAUAAUCGAUUAUUACUUAUAAAAUAUGUUACAAA